CGGUGUCUCAGUUCCUAAGACCAUCAGAAAUACGUGUUUUCUGAUGGUCUUAGGCGACCCCUGUGAAAUGGUUGUUCGACCCCCGAAGGGGUCGCGACCCACAGGUUGAGAACCGCUGUGCUAGAGGUUAAUUUCACUUUGGAUAUUUGGUUUUUUGAGUAUGCUAUCUAUCUCAAUAGAAUAAUUAUAGCAUUAAUAGUGAUGAUAGGAAUUAGAAACAAUUUAAUUGUAAAAUCUUACAGUUAAGUAUUUCUAUUUCCUACCAUUGCCAGGAACUUUCAGAGAAAAUGCAAGGCUUGGGGCAACUAAUUUUUGAGGCCCUUCAAAAAAAAAAAAAGACAAAAUUGAUAAAUAUACAGCAG
rnacentral:lncRNA from 1 species